rnacentral:rRNA from 1 species
UACGAAGGGGGCUAGCGUUGUUCGGAUUGACUGGGCGUAAAGGGCGUGUAGGCGGUCGGCCAAGUCUGGUGUGAAAGCCCGGGGCUUAGCUCCGGAAGUGCGCCGGAAACUAGCUGGCUGGAGCGCGGUAGAGGAGGGUGGAAUUCCUGGUGUAGCGGUGAAAUGCGUAGAUAUCAGGAGGAACACCGGCGGCGAAGGCGGCCCUCUGGACCGUUGCUGACGCUGAGACGCGAAAGCGUGGGUAGCAAACAGG